CGGAGAAGACGAUUGGACUGGAUAGCAGAGGUACGCCGCGGGAUUUGACGGAUCUGACGAAGGAGGCCUGGGCGGAAGGAGUGAACGAUCGGACUGGAUAGCAGAGGUACGCAUCGGGAUUUGACGGAUCUGACGAAGGAGGCCUGGGCGGAAGGAGUGGUGUUGUAGUGGACGAUUCCGAUACCGCCGAGUGCGGCCAUGGAGGCGGCCAUGGCGGACUCGGUGACGGUGUCCAUCGGAGAGGAGACGCAAGGGAUGGAGAGGCGGAUGUUGCGGGAGAGGGAGGUUGAGAGGGAGACGUCGUCGAUGGGGAAGUCGAUGUAGUGAGGAAGGAAGAUGACGUCGUCGUAGGUGUAGGAGUAGCCUUGGUUGAAGAGCUGCUUGCAGCCGAAUCCGUCUUCUUCCUCCAUGAUAUCCAAGAGUUUGCUCAUUGUUCCGGUGACGGCGAUGGUGGUGCGUAGGGUUUGGUGUUCAGUGCGGCGGGAAGAGUGAACUUAACCUACUCUACUUCUCCACUUGUACUAGGAGACGAAGAAGCCGUCUGACACACUGACUGAAUUUGUGGAUUUGGUGGGAAAUUAAAAGGAUAAUUACAUUAAGGUCAGUGAACUUGGCAACUAGCAUUAGUAGAACCAUCCAAUUUGUAAAAUUAAUAAACUAAUAGCUAGCCUUUUGUAUAAUUGACAAACUGGUAAUUAUGUUCAAUGGUUGUGACUUUGUGAGAUAUGAA
rnacentral:lncRNA from 1 species